AGAGGCACAGGAGUAUGGUUCUGCCUAGUCUUCCUCUGGUUUUCAUGAAUUUGAUUCUCCAUUCACUGAUCAUCAAAUCAUCCAGGAAUCCCAUGUCUUUGGUCACUUUGACCUAAACCCACUUCUAAUUUUAGCUGCCUGAAAAUGGCAUGUUGGGAGGUAGUAGGUGAUGGCUUAAGUACUUGGGGCUCUGUCACCCUUGGGGGAGACCCAGUUUGAUUUCUUGCCCCCAGAUUUGGCCAUGGCCCAGAUUCAACUGUUGCAGGCACUUGAGUUGAGAAAUCACCCAAUAGAUUGAAGAUAUUUCUCUGCCCCCACCCCUGUUCUCUCUCCAUCUAAAAUAAAUAAAAUAAAAAAUACUAUUAGAAAAAUUAUAGUAACAUAAGAAAAUAUCUAAUUUCCAUUAAUGGUAAUGUCAUAGACAUUACUCUAUAUUACUGUUGAUUUUUCCACAUCUAUAACUAAAGAUAGUUCUCAUUUUAACUUAUAGGUUGGCAGAGCUAAGGAUAUCUUUUUGCCCAUCCUAGUUCACAGACUACCUCAAAUCCUGCUAUGGCCCUAUUGGGAAUAAUACAACUACUUCCUAGUAGAAGAUGAUAAAUGAAGUAUUAUGAACUAUAAUUUCAAAAGUAUCUUGCUUUACUGACAAAUUCAAGUUUACCCAAGAAUAUCUACAACCUUGAUUGUGUUUAAGGAUGAAUGAUUACUUAUGAGAUACAGGUGGCCAACACAUGCUUGAUCACAAGAUCCAAGAUAGAAGGACUAAAAUGAAAUUUGAGUGAGCACAGGCCAUGAGAGAUUUCUUACAGCCUCCAUAUGUAUACUGGAUCUGGGUUCUGUAGGAUAGACCACCUUGAAAAAGAACCAUUUGAGGCUUGCAGAAUUAAUAGGAGGAGAAGAAUCAGUGUCAAUUUGAUUGGGCCAAGGUUUCAAUAUUGCUUAGAGAAAUGUGAAUGUGUGCCACAUUGGCGUGAUGAGAGAGCCUCCAUGAAGAGUGUCAGCUCCCUUUCUGAAGCUCCUGCUUCAUGA
rnacentral:lncRNA from 1 species